rnacentral:lncRNA from 1 species
CUCGAGCUGCAGCCGUUCCAAGGACAACGGCCAUCCCUGUGGCUGGGCCGCCGGCUACGCAAUGCUGUCUCUCUUGCUGAUCCUCUCAGGCCUGGGCCGGCUGACCUCCGCGGGCCCACGCCACUUAUUCCAUCAAAAUUGAGGGGAAACCAUACACUUCCUGCUUGAAAAACAGUCAUUUUUACACCCACAUUUCCUGGUGUAUUUAUACAACAAAUCAGGAACAUUGUAUGCAGAUUCUUCAUUUUCAAAGGGUCAUUGCUUUUACCAAGGAUAUGCUGCAGACAUUCCAAAAUCAGUUGUGGCACUACGCACCUGUUCUGGACUCAGAGGAUUACUGCAGUUAGAUAAUAUCAGUUAUGGUAUUGAACCAUUGGAAUCUUCACCUACAUAUAAGCAUGUAGUUUAUCGAAUUAAAAAUGAUGCUAUUGGUCAUUCCUCCUUUCAAGAAAAUUAUCCUGUGGCUCAAUAUAUAGAUCAGUC